GUAGUCCACGCUGUAAACGAUGGGUACUAGGUUUCGUGGGAAUUGACCCCUGCGGAACCGGCGCUAACGCAAUAAGUACCCCGCCUGGGAAGUACGGUCGCAAGACUAAAACUCAAAGGAAUUGACGGGAGCCCGCACAAGCGGUGGAUUAUGUGGUUUAAUUCGAAGCAACGCGCAGAACCUUACCUAGGUUUGACAUCCUUUGACAGCUGUAGAGAUACAGUCUUCGUAGCAAUACGACAAAGAGACAGGUGCUGCAUGGCUGUCGUCAGCUCGUGUGGUGGCAUGUCGGGUUAAGUCCCUCAACGAGCGCAACCCCUAUCUUUAGUUGCCAGCAUUAAGUUGGGCACUCUAGAGAGACUGCCGUGGUUAACACGGA
rnacentral:rRNA from 1 species